UCUUACAUCAGGAACUUCCAUAGAAAAUGAUAGAUAUUUGUUCAUGUCUUUAACAUUAAACAUUCAGGUAGUGCUACCAAAAUCACCUUUUUUUUUUUUUCUUUUUUUUUUUUUUUAACUGUCUGUAAGAAAUCAAGGAGAUUACAUAAAUGUAAGCUAAAUUACCACCUGGGGUUACAGAUUUUGGCAUUUAAUAUUCUGAGUGUAUGAAACAGACAAGUUUAUGUGCUGUCAUAAAAGAGGAACAUCUUGUUUUUGCAUAAAGCUAACUGUGAUUGUUGUCUGAUCAUGUUCAGACAAGUAGCCUUUAGGUAAUACCAACUGUGAAAUGUCACUUGUUACACUCACUGAGCCUGGUUUACAUGUAUCAUGAAGAUGAAGAUGUUAUGAUAAAGUUGGCAAAAAGGAGAGAACAACUUGUAGCUUAAUCAACUUUUGGUCAUAGUAGACUGGUCCACAAGAAAACUCCUGUUUCCCCAGUUAAAGGAUGAAUUUAAUAACCUUGGCUGGGUGAAGAAAUGAGCAUAUCAGCCAUGGAAAAAAAUCAUACCAAAGAUGCAGUGAGUGAAGGUGAUGGUCCUGGGACCACCACUGCUGGCUUUGUUCUAGCUGUUGGCUUUAGGGACAUGACAGAACUUUUGCUCAGUUUGAUGCAAUAAAAAGAAGAAGAUAGCCCUUAUAAGGCCUGGUGUUCCUCCUUUGCCAUUCUAAUUAUUAUUUAAACAAAGAUAAAAGUUAUGGAGUUGGAGAGUAUUUUGUCAUUUAAUAAUUUAGCAGUUCAUGCUGAAGUCUCCUUUAUGUUCUUUCUGUUUUUAUGCAGGCACCCUAGAAGAUGGACAUUUGACAGGCCACAAUAGACUGCUCCUUUCCCAGCUACACUUUAGGAAUCAAGACCUUCAUCUUGGAAGACGCUGGCCAUUCUCUGGGAAAUUACUGAAGUCUAAUUUCAGUGAUAUUAUACAGAAGGAUUUGAAUUGUUAAGAAGAAAUAUUUCAGAUUCAAGAAAAAACUCAGACUGUCAUGGGCCCUAUCCAUUCAUGGUGGAACUGCAGGAGACAACGGAAUUAUACCAGCGAUGAAUUUUGCUCAUUGUGUUUCUUCCACUUAAAUUUAAUCAACCCUUCGUGAACCUCUUUCAUUUCAAUGGUAUUAUAUGAAACAACUCAAUGUGGUACAAUUCUUCUGUUGAAAUUGCAUUGAUUCCUCUAGAGAUGCAGAUAUCAACAUAAGUCUAUAAGAUCUCGUCUCCUUUAAGGUUACUAAAAUAAUUGCAUUUUUAUUUAAUGCUUUUAGCCUUUUAGUUAAUCAAAUAUCUAAAUGAAUUUGUAUGUUAAACCUGGAGCUAAAUUGCAUGAGUUCAGUGUUAUAUUAUUGCUCUCUGUUUGCACCAGUAUCACUGAGAACUGAAUCAAAGCCUUUCUUUUCCAAGAUUGUACUUACAAAAUAAAACAUACUUAUCUAGAUUCUAGAUCA
rnacentral:lncRNA from 1 species